rnacentral:sRNA from 1 species
ACCGCCACGGAUGGCGGUGGGUCUCUAACAGAAUUGAGUUUUAAAACUACCUCUUUUUUAUGAUAGGAGUUUUUAAACUCAUAGGUUAGUUUUUGACAUGGACGUCAAAAACUAAACCGUU